UCCACUUUUGUUGCAAGUGCUCAGCGUUUUUUAAGAGAUUACGAAGCAAACAUUAUAAGGAAUACUGUCUUAUCUUUCAGGGUAUUCCUGUGGCCUACUGUUUUCAUUGCACUGGGUCACACCUCGUAUACGAACUACGACAAGACUCACGAGAACAUUGAUGUUCAAGUCCUCACCAGAAAGCUGACAAACUGCGUGAUUGCGCCGCCGUCUAUAUACGAGCCUCCUGCGGUGUCCAACUAUGUGCCAUACAACAACAGCCUGAUACAGGCCUUGGAUUUCGUGGAGGACAUUCAGACCCAUUUAAACAAUUGCAACGUGAGUAACACCUAAGCAAUUUCCAUAUGCCGUGUCGGUGACCCUUAAGGCGCGGUGGUUCAAGUCAACUGGCUCAAAAGUGGGACUGUUUGAACGCUGCGACAAUAUCACAAAGGCUGUGGAUGUUAAUCCAUAUUCACUUGGCAAGGUUUGGCUGGGAGACACGGUAUACGACUAGUAGUGUGGCCUAUCUGUCGCUAUUUGCGUUUGCUUUUUCUUUUUGCUCGUACGUGUAGCUUCUAAACACUG